UGAGGAAUAUUGGUCAAUGGACGGAAGUCUGAACCAGCCAUGCCGCGUGCAGGAUGACGGCCCUAUGGGUUGUAAACUGCUUUUAUUCGGGAAUAAACCUCUUUACGAGUAGAGAGCUGAAGGUACCGAAUGAAUAAGCACCGGCUAACUCCGUGCCAGCAGCCGCGGUAAUACGGAGGGUGCAAGCGUUAUCCGGAAUCAUUGGGUUUAACGGGUCCGCAGGCGGAUAUAUAAGUCAGUGGUGAAAUCCUGCAGCUUAACUGCAGAACUGCCAUUGAUACUGUAUAUCUUGAAUUGAGUGGGAGUGGGCGGAAUAUGACAUGUAGCGGUGAAAUGCAUAGAUGUCAUAGAACACCGAAAGCGAAGGCAGCUCACUAUACUUAAAUUGACGCUCAUGGACGAAAGCGUGGGGAGCAAACA
rnacentral:rRNA from 1 species